rnacentral:rRNA from 1 species
AUUGAACGCUGGCGGCAUGCCUUACACAUGCAAGUCGAACGGCAGCACGGGAGCAAUCCUGGUGGCGAGUGGCGAACGGGUGAGUAAUAUAUCGGAACGUGCCCAGUCGUGGGGGAUAACGUAGCGAAAGCUACGCUAAUACCGCAUACGAUCUAUGGAUGAAAGCGGGGGAUCGCAAGACCUCGCGCGAUUGGAGCGGCCGAUAUCAGAUUAGGUAGUUGGUGAGGUAAAGGCUCACCAAGCCGACGAUCUGUAGCUGGUCUGAGAGGACGACCAGCCACACUGGGACUGAGACACGGCCAGACUCCUACGGGAGGCAGCAGUGGGGAAUUUUGGGACAAUGGGCGCAAGCCUGAUCCAGCAAUGCCGCGUGCAGGAUGAAGGCCUCGGUUGUAACUAG